AUGAAGUGCAAGACAUGUGCUCACAAAGUAAAUGCAAAAACUGCAUUACAUACAUGGUGUGGUCUAUCAUUCAUACCUGCGUCUCAACUCUCACAAGAAUGUUGAAGGUCGUCAGGAGGUCGUCGACCAGAAAGACCUAGGACCACUGGCAUCAAGAGAUUGAGUACUCCUGAUGAGAAUCAACAUCUU